CGGACAGAGCUGGCGUAUCUGGCCUGUAUUCAGCCGCUCGUUGUCGGCCCACCGUUGCUGCACUCCAGACUGGGAAGGCGGCGUGGGCGCUGGCUGCGUGUGGUGCAUUUGCAGGUGGAGUGCGCCGAGGCGCUCGGCUCAGCGGCAUGAGCUCAGCUUUGAGGCCAACCGUGCAAGCGGUCUGGUACCCGGGCUGGGGGAGUGUUGUUUGGGCUGGGUGUUCGCUUGUGGCUGUGGUUUCGGGCCCGGGUGGGUUCCGAGCUGGCGGUCGGUGGCGGUCGCUUGCGACACGUGCCAGCAGUCAGUUCGGUCCUGCUCGAGCUCUCAUUGUGGCCCGGCCUCGGUGUAAAAGCCGGUCAUCUGUCCGACCCGUCUUGAAACACGGACCAAGGAGUUUAGCGUGUGCGCGAGUCAUUGGGCGUUGAAAACCCAAAGGCGCAAUGAAAGUGAAGGUCUGCCUUGUGCAGCUGAUGUGUGAUCCCGGGCGCUGCGGCGCACGGGCGCAACAUAGUCCCGUCCCGACUGCAUGCAGUGGGGCAGAGACAGAGCGUACGCGCUGAG
rnacentral:rRNA from 1 species